GGCUCCCAAAUUUGAAGUAGAGUAGAUCAGUAGGAUCGGCUGAUCCCACUAAACUACUGUACUUCAAGUUUGUGCCC
rfam:Haemonchus contortus, ISE/inbred ISE, WGS project CAVP01000000 data, contig: Hcontortus_26709